rnacentral:rRNA from 1 species
CCGUUCGGUUGUAAGCUCUUCGGCCGGGAAGAAAUCGCAUGGGUUAAUACCCUGUGCGGAUGACGGUACCGGCAUAAGAAGCACCGGCUAACUACGUGCCAGCAGCCGCGGUAAUACGUAGGGUGCGAGCGUUAAUCGGAAUUACUGGGCGUAAAGCGUGCGCAGGCGGUUUGUUAAGAUAGGCGUGAAAUCCCCGGGCUCAACCUGGGGAACUGCGCUUAUGACUGGCAAGCUAGAGUACGGCAGAGGGGGGUGGAAUUCCACGUGUAGCAGUGAAAUGCGUAGAGAUGUGGAGGAACACCAAUGGCGAAGGCAGCCCCCUGGGUCGAUACUGACGCUCAUGCACGAAAGCGUGGGUAGCAAACAGGAUUAGAUACCCUGGUAGUCCACGCCCUAAACGAUGUCAACUAGGUGUUGGAAGGGUAAAACCUUUUAGUACCGGAGCUAACGCGUGAAGUUGACCGCCUGGGGAGUACGGCCGCAAGGUUAAAAACUCAAAGGAAUUGACGGGGA